UACGAAGAGGGCUAGCGUUGCUCGGAAUCACUGGGCGUAAAGGGCGCGUAGGCGGCGUUUUUAAGUCGGGGGUGAAAGCCUGUGGCUCAACCACAGAAUGGCCUCGAUACUGGGACGCUUGAGUAUGGUAGAGGUUGGUGGAACUGCGAGUGUAGAGGUGAAAUUCGUAGAUAUUCGCAAGAACACCAGUGGCGAAGGCGGCUCACUGGCCCGAUACUGACGCUGAGGCACGAAAGCGUGGGGAGCAAACAGG
rnacentral:rRNA from 1 species